rnacentral:rRNA from 1 species
UGGGGAAUAUUGGACAAUGGGCGAAAGCCUGAUCCAGCGAUGCCGCGUGUGUGAAGAAGGCCUGCGGGUUGUAAAGCACUUUCGGUUGGGAAGAAAGAGCGAUCACUAAUACUGAUCGAAGUUGACGUUACCAAAAGAAGAAGCACCGGCUAACUCUGUGCCAGCAGCCGCGGUAAUACAGAGGGUGCAAGCGUUAAUCGGAAUUACUGGGCGUAAAGGGUGCGUAGGUGGUUGUGUAAGUUGGAUGUGAAAUACUCGGGCUUAACCUGGGGGCUGCAUUCAAAACUGCAUGACUAGAGUAAGGUAGAGGGAAGUGGAAUUUCCGGUGUAGCGGUGAAAUGCGUAGAUAUCGGAAGGAACACCAGUGGCGAAGGCGGCUUCCUGGACCUAUACUGACACUGAGGCACGAAAGCGUGGGGAGCAAACAGG